UUACUACUCCCUCCGUCCAACAAAAGAUGUCUCAAGUUUGUGACUUAGUGUAUAGAUGCAUUCAAAUUUGAUGAAAGUUGAGACAUCCUUUGUUGGACGGAGGGAGUAGUAC
rnacentral:pre_miRNA from 1 species